UACGUAGGGGGCAAGCGUUGUCCGGAAUCAUUGGGCGUAAAGAGCGUGUAGGCGGUCCGGUAAGUCGGUUGUGAAAGUCCAGGGCUCAACCCUGGGAUGGCGACCGAUACUGUCGGACUAGAGUUCGGAAGAGGCGAGUGGAAUUCCCGGUGUAGCGGUGAAAUGCGCAGAUAUCGGGAGGAACACCUAUGGCGAAGGCAGCUCGCUGGGACGUUACUGACGCUGAGACGCGAAAGCGUGGGGAGCAAACAGG
rnacentral:rRNA from 1 species